UACGGGGGGAGCAAGCGUUGUUCGGAUUUACUGGGCGUAAAGGGCGCGUAGGCGGUCAGCACAAGUCAGUUGUGAAAUCUCCGGGCUUAACUCGGAAAGGUCAACUGAUACUGUGCGACUAGAGUGCAGAAGGGGCAACUGGAAUUCUCGGUGUAGCGGUGAAAUGCGUAGAUAUCGAGAGGAACACCCGUGGCGAAGGCGGCUUUCUGGGACGGUACUGACGCUGAGACGCGAAAGCGUGGGGAGCGAACAGG
rnacentral:rRNA from 1 species